UACGUAGGUGGCAAGCGUUGUCCGGAAUUACUGGGCGUAAAGCGUGCGCAGGCGGUGAUGUAAGACAGAUGUGAAAUCCCCGGGCUCAACCUGGGACCUGCAUUUGUGACUGCAUCGCUAGAGUACGGUAGAGGGGGAUGGAAUUCCGCGUGUAGCAGUGAAAUGCGUAGAUAUGCGGAGGAACACCGAUGGCGAAGGCAAUCCCCUGGACCUGUACUGACGCUCAUGCACGAAAGCGUGGGGAGCAAACAGG
rnacentral:rRNA from 1 species